UCCUGCGGGGGCCGGGAGCGCGGGAGGGACCGGAAGCGGGGCGGGGCUGGUAGCCCAGCGGCUCCCAGCCCCUUCCAGGGCAGCUCUGGGCUCGCUGCAGCCAGCUGGGUCCGUCCCCCCCUCGGUCAGGUCAUUGCACCGGGGAUGCAGAGCUGCAGCCCGCGGGAUCUGCCUCGCUCCCAGCCAGGUCCGGGACAGCUGGUGAUCUACUGUGGCUAUGUGACAUACAUGAUGUGACUGAAACACUGUCAUUGGCAGAUAACUCUGAAACUCUAGAAAAUGAUGGUGAUCUUGAAGGUGGAUAGUCUUCAGAAUCCUGUAUGUUGAGGAUGGAUUCUCCUAAAUGAAAUAAGGCAAUGCAGUUAUUUAA